CUUAUUAUUAAUGUUUUUUGAGAAGUCCUCAGUACAUAUACGUAUAAUCACUUGCUUGAAAUUACAGAUUCUAUUGCUGUUGUAAUUUAUUCGCGCAACUUUAAAUGGUCUAAACAUUUGCAAAAGAAGACGGUUAUGAUUAAAUUCAUUUUCUGAUUGGCAUCACAAUGAACGUCUUUAAUGAUACAGGGUUGGGAGAGCCAGAGCAAGAUGCCAAUUCAGCUCUCAUCGAGUUAGAUAAAGGCCUGCGAUCAAAUAAAAUUGGUGAACAAUGCGAGGCCAUUGUACGCUUUCCACGGCUAUUUGAGAAAUACCCAUUUCCUAUCCUCAUCAACUCAUCGUUGCUGAAACUUGCUGAUGUUUUUCGCAUCGGUAGUAAUUUCCUCAGAGUUUGGGUACUCAGAGUUUGUCAACAAAGUGAAAAACACUUGGAUAAAAUAUUAAAUGUCGACGAAUUUGUCAGACGUAUAUUUAGUGUUAUCCAUUCAAACGACCCAGUUGCUAGGGCUCUCACCUUACGUACUCUGGGGAGUGUGGCUGGGAUAAUUCCUGAAAGGCAGCAGGUACAUCAUAGCAUACGGAGGUCGUUGGAUUCCCAUGAUUCUGUGGAAGUAGAGGCUGCGAUAUAUGCAGCACAAAUGUUUGCCGCUCAAUCGAAGCUCUUUGCUGUAUCAAUGUGUAGUAAAAUUUCUGAUAUGAUUAGAGGACAAGCCACACCUGCCACCAUGAAAUUACAGUUAAUACCAAUUCUGCAGUACAUGCAUCACGAUACUUCAACAGCUUCAAUGGUUAAUGAACUGUGCAUGGAAUUACUGGGUAGUUAUCCAGCAGUUGAGUUUGUCAGGGUAACCUUGAGCGCCCUGACUACACUUGCUUCUGCCACUUUGGUAGAUGUUCCGGGACAAGUUGCCUUACUCCUACGCUACUUACAUGAUGAUCCAAGAGCUUCUAUAAAACGCCAUGCUCUUGAUCUUCUGCAUUCCCUUGCUAGAAGGGGUGCUCAUCUCUGGCCUCAGGGAGCGCUCACUAGCCUAAUCGAUAGUACGACUACGCUGUUACAAGAUGGAAGUGUCAACUCCGGUCUUCUCAUCAGAACCUUGGACGUUAUAGAGGUACUAAGCCAGAGUGCAGUGACUUGCGAUGCAAACAUGGAAAAGGACAGUCCUCUGCUCUGCCUGUGCGUAAACGCGUGUUAUUCCCCUGAUCUCUCGGUGGCUGUCAGAGCAGUCACGAUUCUUGCUCGAGUAGCUUGUUACUGCUACGAGGAGGGAUUGGUGGCGUAUAAUGAAUCUGGGAUAGUAUGUUGUCUUGAAUCCUUAAUCGUGUUGCUGGCUGUCGACGAAAGUCAUUUACGUCAAUUGAAAGUUUGUUUAAAAUCAACGGUAAAGUUAUGCGAAGCCAAUCAAAAACAUUGUCCACUUUUCGUCGACGCCAUUGGCUCAACUUUAAUAAACGCUAAUCCCGAUGGAGGGCAAGGACAAGGUCAGACCAUUGCACUGUGCGAAGCUCUCGGCGCUAUCGGCAGUCUUGGAGAAAAUGCACUGCUUCCACUUCUUCCAGACAUUUUGUCAAAGAUUCAGCAAUCGUCUCACGUUCAUACAAAGGUGAUGCUCUGCACUUUGCUAUUUCAAACAGUAGCGGGUGGAUAUGAAUGGAAUGUAGAAUGUUUAAAGGCAGUUGAAAAAGUAGUGGUCAAUGUGGAUGGGUGGGCAAAAUAUCGUAUCGCUCGUAGCGCUGCGAGGUACGGUCAUCACGGAGUAGCUACCAAGAUAUUUAAGAGGCUGAAGGAAACCGUAGCCUCUGAACAACUUCAUUUUUGGUUAUCCGGCUUGCACUUGGUUAGCAGUGCCGAAAGCCAUCUCAUGGAGGAAGCAGAACAAGGAGAAGGCAACAAGAAGCUCGGCACUGUGGAAAGAUUGAAUGGAGCAAUAGCACGCUAUGCAAGUGCCUGUGCGUCGCUUAAAGCAGCUAGUACGCCCCUGCGCAGUUUGCAGUUUGCCAGCGAAUAUUCCAAACUACGUUGCGAGUUUCUUCAGUGUAUAAUACAACUGUUACAUUCUUGCAGAUCUCUCUGCACCGCUCCACCGCCGGCGAUCGCUGCUACCGUUGUACUAGCUACUAGAGACGAUUUGCAACGUUUCGGACGUGUCACUCCACAGUUAAGAAAGUCUGCGAAGGAUUUGAAGAAUUGUGCAGAAAACUAUCAGAAACUUUACCAAUCUGCCUUUGAUGCCGAUCCAGGAUCCCUUGCUAACAUUCGGGCCUUACAAGAAAUGUGUCGUUUAAUGGCAAACAGUGUGGAACGAGUCUGCGGUGGUGCGGGAGCGGUAAUGUGUCAACCAAAUGAAACGGAAUUUAAUUUUGGUAGUUCUGUUGAGAUGAGGCAAUUGGCGCGGUGUUGUACGGAGGUAUAUCGACUAGCUCCCUCGUGCACAAUGGAUGGAGAAGGUGGAGCUAUAAGUCACGUUCGAGUUGGUUGUUUGGUGGCACAAGUGACUCUGUUAGCCGGUGGUAAAGUGAGACUUCCUUUGCCUCGCUACUUCUUUCAGGCUUUACAGGCAACAAGUGUUAAACUCUCAGUUUCACCUCAACCACGAGUUCUUGGUGAGCCCGUUUCUGUACCCCAAGGAAGCCAACUCGCUCUUAAGGUUGAAGGGGUAUUGAGACACGGUAGACGAGCAUCUCUCUUUCGGUCCGUUGCUGCUGUCUGCAUAUCAAUCUCAACUGCUCCCCCAUCUAAGAUAAAUACAGAUCAGAAGGAUACUAAUACCAACGAACUACAACAGACGGUUAUACCUCAUCGGGAUUUCUUUGCGUGCGAAUUCCUUCUCUCAUUAGGAAGCCCUGCGCUAUCGUCUAGUGUCUGCAGUAGCGGUAGCAGUGGCAGUGGUAGCAGUAGUGGAAGUGGUGGACAAUAUCAAGUGACAGCUAGUGCAAGUAUUUUGGAUAAGGCAGGAGAUGUAUGGAAGUGCGGGCCUCGAUCGACAUUGCAUGUUCGUGUGCACGAGGAACCAACGAAACGAAAAUUAUCGUGAUCUGCAUUAGAUGUAUAGAUCAAAGCAAGAAGCUCCGCUCCUCAAGGCAUCUCUCAAUGAAAUUUCACCCUUCCCUUCAAAGAGGCAUACUUUCAAGUUACCAUCUGCAGUAAUGCGUAAUCUGUUACACGAACUACAAAAAUGCUCGCUCAUCGAGGUAAUGAAACCCACCUGUCCCACAAAUCCAGGAAACCAUUCUAUUUUCUUGCCACUGGUUGCCAGAAAAUGGCAUGUACUCGAUGAAGCGUACAUCGAUUGGUCUGUCUUUUGUAAACGUCACAAACUCUACCAGUUCAUCGUCAUUAUAAUUCCGCAUAAUGACACAGUUUAUCUAUGGUUAUAUCCUAGCUGCACUGCUAAAUCAAUAGCUGCCAUAACUCUGUUCCAUCCUUUCCGUCUGGUGAACUUUUCAAAACGUUCUUCCUUGAGGGUGUCUAAGGAAAUAUUAAGCCCAUCGAGACCGGCCCUCUGGAGAGCCGGUAGCUGUCUUGUAAGCGUCAAUCCAUUAGUCGUUAUUGCCAAAUGUUUUAAUCCAUCGAGUUCCUUCAAACGACCUAUUAAAGGAUAGAGUACAGCUGUGAAGUGGUUUUCUUCUAGUUCUAGCGUCACACAAGCAAGUUUCAAAUUUUCAUAUUACCCACCAAUAAUGUCGACAAUGUCUUUACGCACUGUUGGCUCGCCACCGGUAAGGCGGAUUUUCUGUACACCUUCCUGAACAAAAACAUUUGCGAUUUUACAAAUUU